CAGUGUCUUUGUGCCCGCUUUGUCUUCACUUUCCACACUCUACACCAGCCUGAUGACUUGGUUCUCUCAGUCAUGACAGUUUUCUGGUCACCUGUCCCCAGAAAACUGAGUGUCUAGGGACACACGACACCUCUUGAGAAAGAGGUACAGAAGGAUCUUCACCCCCAUCUAUACUGGAAAUGUAUGUAAGAAGCAUACACAAACUUAGGGCUUUCAAGAUCUUGAAACCUAAUGAGUCCAUAUUCUAGGCCUUGUCAUCUCCGCCUCACAGAGGAUGCAACCAGACCAACAGACUACAUCACAAAGCCCUCCUGUUUCACAAGAUGGUGUAUCACAGCAUGCCUGUACGCUGAUGGGAAUAUGGGAAUGAUCCAGGAGAGAUGAGAAUGAUGACACAGGUGGAAGAGGAGAAGAGGUUGAAUUACGGUACAGCUACACGACAGAAGCUGCGUCCCUAAUCGUAAGGGAGAGGGUUCCAGCAGCAUGUGAAGUGGUUCCUUAUGUCAAACAUCUGGGGUAAAUAAAAUCAAAACAGU